AAUGGCGCAGCUUGAUGCAGCCAUGCCGCGUGUUGAAGAAGGCCUUCCGGGUUGUAAAGCACUUUCAGCGGGGAGGAAGGCGGUGGGAUUAAUACUCUCACCGAUUGACGUUACCCGCAGAAGAAGCACCGGC
rnacentral:rRNA from 1 species